rnacentral:lncRNA from 1 species
AUAAAUAUGGAUGAGAAGCUACAAACCAAAGGAAAUAGAGGAGCAAUGGGGAACAAGUGUAAACACAUUCAAACACACCCAAACCUCUAAUUCCAUCCUCUUCUUGACUCCUUUAUUCACAAUUUUUUUUUAAUUUUUCUCAUUUUCCUAUAUUUUUUUUUCUUUUUUUCUUCAUCUUGUCUCUUUUCUUUUCUCUCUUUUCCGAACACAACUCUAAGAGACAAGAUACACACAUAUUUACAAAACAAAAGCAAGAAGAGGAACCAACUACCCAAUUCAUCUGAAUCUCCCAAGAGACCACACUUAUUCCCAAAACAAUUCCAAAGCUCCAAAAUCAAUCCAACCUCUCAAACAUCAUAAUCGUAUUCCAAG